rnacentral:rRNA from 1 species
GGACAAAAUUUUAUGAGCAAAUGGAGGAUGCCUUGGGAGAUUGAGACGAUGAAGGACGUGGCGUGCCUGCGAUAAGCCUCGGGGAGGUGGUUAGCAACCUGUGAACCGGGGAUUUCCGAAUGGGGAAACCCGAUUACGUAAAACGUAAUCAUCUCAAUGCAAAUUGAGAAGUGUACCCGCCGAAGUGAAACAUCUCAGUAGGCGGAGGAAAAAAAAGAAACGAAAUGUUUUAUUCGCUAUAUUUUAUUGUCAUUCUUUUUAAAGAUUGUAACGAUUGUAGCGAAUAAGACGUUUCAUAUUCCCUUAGUAGCGGCGAGCGAAAAGGGAAAUAGCUCAAACCUUUCUUUUUUAAGAAGGGGGUUGUAAGGGGGUGUCGUCUGGAGCCUUUCUUAGUGUUUCGUCUUUCGGGACGAAGCAAAAGAAAUGUUCUGGAGGGAGAAAAUUAGGUAGAGUUGUUAAUCAAAUGUCUCUGGGAAGAGCAACCAUAGAGGGUAAUAGUCCCGUAGAUGAAAAUAACUUUAUGCUCCUUGAUACUUUACUUGAGUACCUCGGGAAACGAAGACCCCGGGGGAAACCGGCAGGACUAUACUGCCAAAGCUAAAUACUCAAUCUCACCGAUAGUGAACUAGUACCGUGAGGGAAAGGUGAAAAGUAGGCGGGUGACGCCGAUGAAAUAGAACCUGAAACCAUUUUGCUUACAAGGAGUCAGCGCGGUGUCUCACUAGCGCUCGACACCGCUUAAAUUGAAAAGUAAAAUCUCAAAAUGCAAAAUUAUUGUAUCGUGCUUCGCGCGAUGGAUCAUAAUCCGUUCCGCAAAGCGGGGCACAUAAAUUUUGACUUUUUCAUUUUUAACUUUUAGUUUAGGUGGCGAGCGAUAGCGAGACACCGUUAUGGCGUGCCUAUUGAAGAAUGACCCAACGAGUUAAAGUACAAAACUUGUCUAAGCUCUUAUGGAGCGGAGGCGUAGCGAAAGCAAGUGUUAAAAGCGCGUUAUUGUUUUGUGCUUAAGACCCGAAGCCAAGCGAGCUUGCCAUGACCAGGGUGAAGAUCGACGAAAGUCGAUUGGAGGCCCGAACCAGUGAGCCGUUCAAAACUCUUGGAUGAGUUGUGGUAAGAAGUAAAAAGCUAAUCGAGCUUGGGAAUAGCUGGUUCUCCCCGAAAGAUCUUUUGGGAUCGCGUCCAUUUAUAAAUUUUCGCAGGUAGAGCACUGGAAAGAAUAUCUUGGAGUUUCUCCAGGUAUUUUUACCAAACUCCGAAUGGCGGACAAUUUUAAUGGGCAGUCAGACUGUGGGGGCUAAGCUCCGCAGUCGAAAGGGAAAAAGCCCUUAUCUUAAUCUAAGGUCCCUAAAUUUUCCGUUUUUCAACGGACCCCGUUACAAUUUUGCAACUGAAAAACAGAGCGAAGUGCGAGCGGCGAAUAGCCGCACCCCAAACAUGGGCGCAGCGCUUCGCCCAAAGCAGGAUGUGCCUAUUCGGCACACGCACUGCGUAAGUUAUUCGGAGGCAGAAUUGUAACGGGGGAGCUAAGUGUAAAGUAAGGAAGUAGAAUUCUUUUGAUAGUUAGGAGGUUAGCUUAGAAGCAGCUACCCUUUAAAAAGUGCGUAACAGCUUACUAAUUAAGGAAUUCUGCGCCGAAGAUUGCCGGGACUAAGCUCAGUACCGAAGAUAAGACAUGAUAUUCAAUUCGUUGAAUAUCUUGGGUAGGGGAGCAUUUCUAGUGCAACGAAGCCUACGGGUAACCAAAGGUGGAGCGCUAGGAAGUGAGAAUGUUGGGAUGAGUAACCACAAUGCCGCUGAGAUAGCGGCACACCGAAAGCCUAAGGUUUCCUUGGCAAUGAAAAUCAGCCAAGGGUUAGGCGUACCUAAGGCGUAGCCGAAAGGCGAAGCCGAUGGACAGCCGGUUAAUAUUCCGGCCCUUAUAUAUGUAAUCCGAAGAGUUGACGGAGUUUAGUAGCUUUGGUGAGUUAUUGGAUUCUCAUUGUUUAUCUUAAGAUUUUUCAAGGAUAAGCAGGAUGCUUUGUUUCGACAGGGCAAACCAAAGUGAGCAAACUUCCUAGAAAAUUCUCUGAAGAAUUUAAUUACAUAUUUAACACGUACUAAAACCGACACAGGUAGGCAGGUCGAGAAGACCAAGGUGAACGAGUGAAACCUUGUUAAGGAACUCGGCAAAAAAGCGUCCGUAAGUUCGCAAUAUGGACUGCCGCCUUUAUGGCGGCCGCAGCGAAAGUACCCCUAGCGGCUGUUUAACAAAAACACAGGUCCCUGCUUAACUCGUAAGAGGAUGUAUAGGGGCCGAGGCCUGACCAGUGCUGGUACGUUAAAGUCGGCGGUUUUCCCGCUUUGCGGGAUGGCUAACUGACCUAAGCGCCAGUGAACGUCCGCGGUAACUAUAACCGUGUUAAAGUAGCGUAAUCCCUUGCCGGGUAAGUUCCGGCCCGCAUGAAAGGCCUAACGACUUGGGGACUGUCUCAACAAGGAGCUCGGUGAAAAUGCAAUACCGGUAAAGAUGCCGGUUACCUACGGCUAGACGGAAAGACCCCGGGAGCUUUACUAUAGCUUCUCAUUGUUUUAUUUUUUUGGAUGCGUAGCGUAGCAGGGAGACUUUGAGUCCGUUAUUUCGGUGACGGAGGAGUCGUCAAUGAAACACCUGUCUUUUAAAAGAAUAAGACUAAUCUACUUCAACGUGGAGACUGCCUCCUAAAAAGUAAUGGAGGCGUCUAAAGGUUGGCUAGCUCCGGAUGGAAAUCGGAGUUGUCGGGUAAACCCAAAAGCCAGCUUAACUGCAAGGAGGAUAUUCCGCGCAGUUGCGAAAGCAGAGGUUAGUGAACCGAUGGUAAUUUUUAGAAUUGCCAGAGAUCAUCAGCCAAAAGCUACCCCGGGGAUAACAGGCUAGUAGAGCCCGCGAGUCCACAUCAACGGCUCUGUUCGGCACCUCGAUGUCGGCUCAACUUAUCCUGGGGCUGGAGAAGGUCCCAAGGGUUCGGCUGUUCGCCGAUUAAAAAGUUACGUGAGCUGGGUUCAAACCGUCGUGAGACAGGUUGGUCCCUAUCUACCGUAGGCGUCAAGUCUUGAAGAGAGUUGAUCCUUGUACGAGAGGAUCGGAUCGAACUGACCUCUGGUGUACCAGUUGUUCCGCCAGGAGCAUUGCUGGGUAGCUAAGUCGGGAACUGAUAAGUGCUGAAAGCAUCUAAGCACGAAGCAGACUCUAAGAUUAGGACUUUUAGUUUCCCCGAAGAUAACGGGGUUGAUAGGGUGCAAGUGUAAGGAUCGUAAGGUCUUGAGCUGAGCACUACUAAUAAAACGAUUAUUACUGUCCUU